CCCACCCACAAGUCCACAGUGACCAUAAGUGCAUCACUUUCUAUAAAUAAAUACCCAUUCUUCCUCAUUCCUUGCUCAUUUCAUUUUUCUUAGUUUUGUUUUGUUUAGGUGCAGAGAGAGAGAGAAAGAGUGUGAAAGGUUUUUUUUUCUUUCAUUAAUUUCUGUUUUUAUCUUUUGGUUUUUUCUCUUUCCUCAUUUUUAUAGGUAUUUUGUGGAGGAAGAAGACUUUGUAGCUUGACUUUGUGAAAGAUUAAAUCAUACAAUUCAGGGGGUCUUAAAGUUGGAGGGAAUUAGAUUGAAAUAUCUUAGAAGUUUCUCUCUUUCGACUGAAGAAAUGGAGGUAUAUGGAAAAUCUAUGGUUGCAGCUCCUUCAAAUGUUAUUUAUCUGUCAAGUAUUUUGGGCCAUGAUGGUCCAAGUCAUGUUCACAAAUGCGACUGGAAAUGCCAAAACGAACGUGUUUGCGGAAACAUGUUUCGCUGCAAGCUGACAGGUCUCACACACAUCUGUGAUAAAAACUGUAACCAGAGAAUUCUGUAUGAUAACCAUAGCUCCCUUUGCCUAGCAAGUCGUCAAAUUUUCCCCCUUACUCCAACAGAAGAACAAGCAGUGAGAGGCGUUCGAAGGAAGCUCGACGCAGCAGAGAGUUCACCCGUUGAUAAUAACAUCGGUUGUAAGCGUAGGAGGGAUGCACAAUUCCAUCCUUCUCCUUUCGAGAGAUCUUUCUCUGCUGUCAGUCCUAUCUGCAGCCAAGUUGGAGACGGCAUGGAUACGAACUAGAUAUUGAGAUUCAUAUAACUGAAGGAGACCUUUUUAUCAUUUUCUCGUUUUUUUUUUUUCCUUUCUUUUUUUCUAUCUGAUGAGUAUCCAUAACAGAACUUGAACAAUUAUGAAUCGCCGAUUGGUGGACCUUAUGUGUCCCCAUUCGCCGUAGGACGUCUUUAUGAUUCUAGUAAUAAUGUAAUGCAGUAUUUAAAGUAGCUUGACUGUUGAAUGGAGACUUGAGAUGGCUGUGUGUACACAGUUAUGAGACUUGAAUUAAAUUCGGUUUCUUUCUAACUUACUCAGAAGCUGAUUCUUAUAUAGCUUACCACAGGAUAUAUUCUAGCCUUCGUCUAUGAUGCUUGAAUUUAAUUUGGACCUGGUUGAUGUAUACAUAUUAGCGAUGUUUCUCAUGUAUAUGUAAUCAUUAAGCGUCCAUAUUCUAGUAUUAGAGUGGUGUACUCUUGUAUUCUUCCACUUUCUUUUUCUAUGGUUCUGUUAGAACAGGUUCUCUUCAGUUCUUCAUAUGCAAAUUUUUGGAAUCUUAUGGAGACCGAUACUAGUUCUCUGUUACAGGCUCAAGGGAGAUUAUACUAGUUCUGAUUUGAACUUGUCUUAAUCAAAUUUCUAUUAUUUUUUGAGGUUUGAAUUUGAUUGACAGUUGGUUGUGUGAGUUGAAUGUAAAUUGUGCAGGUUUUGAAGCAUAUAUGCUAGGAAGGAGUCUUCAAAAUAUUUGUGUUUCAAUACUGAAUGAUUUCUUAUGAUAUAGAUUUUCCCUGUUUUAUAACAUGAAAUACUGAUAAAUGUUUCAUUUUCUUGAUGCAGGUACAUGUACAUGCAUUGCAACUUUGGCUUGAGUUUUUGUCUUUGCUGAAGUUUGGAGAAAAUGAGGCUGUAAAGAGUUAAAAGGAUAUCUCUACCCUACAAGAUGUCAAAAGGAUUGAGAGCAGUUAUGACACUGUUAAGGGAUGAUAAAGUGGCGAGGUGAAAUUGAGCAAAUAAAGAUUUACCUCCAGAAAAAAAUAUCUGUCAUCAUUGCUGUCACCAAAAAUAUCUGCAUAAUGGCGUUCAAGGAUUGAAAGUAAACCUGUUUUGAAUUGAAGGAUUGAAAGUAAUAGGUUGUUCUUGGCUUCUGCUAAAUUGCAUAUUUUUGUUACAUUCUUAUAGCUUAUUUGUGAAGGUAGAGGAAUGUAAUAUACCCCAACUUUGAUGUAUUUAUCUCAUAUCUUAUUGGCUUGUAAGUAUCCAAUCCAAUCAAUGAAAUUUGGAACUGUUCAUUUUCAUGUAAUGCAAGCUGUCUUAAAGAUAUGGAUAUUCAGAUUUUGUUUUCUGUUUUAA